GCCACCUUAGCUCAGUUGGUAGAGCAUCCCCUUCGUAAGGGGAGGGUCCCCGGUUCAAGCCCGGGAGGUGGCU
rnacentral:tRNA from 1 species